rnacentral:rRNA from 1 species
AUUGAACGCUGGCGGCAGGCCUAACACAUGCAAGUCGAGCGGAUGAAGGGAGCUUGCUCCUGGAUUCAGCGGCGGACGGGUGAGUAAUGCCUAGGAAUCUGCCUGGUAGUGGGGGAUAACGUCCGGAAACGGGCGCUAAUACCGCAUACGUCCUGAGGGAGAAAGUGGGGGAUCUUCGGACCUCACGCUAUCAGAUGAGCCUAGGUCGGAUUAGCUAGUUGGUGGGGUAAAGGCCUACCAAGGCGACGAUCCGUAACUGGUCUGAGAGGAUGAUCAGUCACCGUGAAACUGAGAGACGGCCCAGACCCCCAGGGGGGGCAGGAGGGGGGAAUAGGGGACAAGGGGCGAAACCCUUAUCCAGCCAUGCCGCGUUGGGGAAGAAGGUUUUCGGAUUGUAAAGCCCUUUAAGUUGGGAGGAAGGGAAGUAAGUUAAUACCUUGUUUUUUUGCCGUGACAAAAAGAAAAAGCCCCGGCAAACGUCG